rnacentral:rRNA from 1 species
AUGUUGAUAUGUCUGCAUCAUCCGUGCCUGCCCCUGUGGUUGGCAUCCGAGAGAAAACACAAGGAUUCCCAUCUGUUAAUUUUUUGUUUUGUACAUGUUUGCGCUCGGCUCAUAUUCAUCCUCUUAGAUGCAGUUCAGUUUUUACUGGGCUCGGAUCUAAUGGGGGCAGAGCCGGCGCGGAUAGUUAGAUGGUUUACUUACCAACCCUUAGCAGCGUUUGCCAUUGCUUUGGAGUCAAAUAGCCUAACCCAGAUUUUUAGUUUUCACAUAGUUUUUGACUUCUUUUUAUUCUUGGUGCUGGCAAGUGAUGAACAGAUAUCCUACACUCUCAAUGGUAAAUACCACGUGUGGACUCAUAAUCUCUGCUUAUUAUCUGAUGCCUUGCAUUAA